rnacentral:rRNA from 1 species
GACGAACGCUGGCGGCGUGCCUAAUACAUGCAAGUCGAACGCAGUGGGGACGGGUGAGUAACACGUGGGUAACCUCCCAUCAGAGGGGAUAACACUUGGAAACAGGUGCUAAACCGAUACUGAUGGAUGGACCCGCGGUGCAUCAGCUAGUUGGGGAGGUAACGGCUCACCAAGGCGACGAUGCAGAGCGGAGCGGGGAGGGGGAUCGGCCACCCCGGAACUGAGCCACGGCCCAGCCUCGUACGCGAGGCAGGGGUGGAGAGUGUUCGGCAAGGGACGGAAGUCAAACCGGGCAACGCCGCGUGAGUGAAAAGGGUUUUCGGCUAGUGGAACUCUGUUGUUAGAGAAGCGGUAUCUAACCAAAAAGCAACGGCUAACUACGUGCCAGCAGCCGCGGUAAUUC